rnacentral:lncRNA from 1 species
CUUUCUGUGACUUCUCCCCUGCUGAACUGCGAGCUGCUCAAGGUCAAGGGCGGGUCUUCUUCCUCUAAGAAUCCCCAGUGCUUUCAACCCUUAAUAACUGUUGAAUAAACACAUGAAUGGAGGUGGCCAGUCUGAGGCUUUGUGGGGAGAACAAAAGUAGGAGUUGUCUGGAUGUGAAAUAUCGAGAAGGUCAGACACCUCCCAUCCCAGAUUCCAGAAACUUCUCCCCACCUUUCUUCACCCCUCAGAGGGUGAUCCUGUCCCAGGCACUCCCGGCGAUGAUAUCAGAAAUACCUUGAGAGAGGUAGCAGCCAUGGAAGGGGGGAACACAAAGGAGCUGAGUUCAUGGCUUGUGUCCAUGCAUCAUUCUUUUUUUCCAGAAACAUGAUGGUCCCACGUUUGAGAAAGGUCCGAUGAACUCCAGUUGUAGCCACCUCUGCCUUCUUUUAUUUCUCAAAUAUUUAACCCUUGUCUUCACAGCAGGAAGGAAGAAGAGUGUGGCUUCGGAAUCCUACCCAACUGCAUUUAUUUCAGGCAGUUAGGUGGAGGGUGCCCACAGGAGGGAAACAAGAAUCAGAGGAUGCCACCUUUCCACUCAAGAGUGUCUCAACCAGAGUGACCUCCAUGACUUGGUGCCCAUGCUUCAGAAGCCCAGGUCAGAGGUGGAGGGAACCUGCCAGCCCUGAGGUGACCCAGCACAGGGUGAGAAGGCGGCGCUGGGGAAGGAAGCUCCACUCCAGCAGCCACAAGACGAGGCAAAGGGUAAAUGGGUGUGUGUAGAGCUGUCUGCCGGCCGUGCCUUGUUCAACUUUCUGCCAGUUGUCCCCUGUGUGCCAUUCCUGGGGCUUGGACAGAGGCCAGGAGCUGCUGCCACCAAGAAGGCGGGUGGGUUAUAUGCCCACUCGGCUCCUCUCCUUUGUGAAUCUUCACUGACAGGCUGCACACUAGCUCAGGAAUGGGAAGCAGCUGUGAGGGAGCAGUGGUGGCCAGACGGACUGAAGGUUGGAGUGGCUGAUCUUGUACUUAGGGCUAACCUCCAGGCUGCUCAACGAGACAAGGGAAGAGACUUGAAUCAGCCAGUCAGCUGCGAAGACCCUGUGCUUUAA